GCAGCAACUCCAUCCUGUCACAUGUUACACAAGAAAAUCUGUGAAGUUAUCUGCUCAUUAUUAUUUCUUUUUAAAAGCAAGAGUCCUACUAUUUUUGGGGUACUCACAAAGGAAUUAUUAUAUCUUUUUGAAGACUUGAUUUGCCUCCACAGAAGAAGUGCAAUGGGAGAUGUUGUGGAAUGGCCAGUGGUCUUUAACCGAUUUUUAAGCCAAUUAGAUGAACAUAUGGAAUAUUUACAACCAGCUCCUUUGCAGUUUGUUAGCAUGCAAAAUUUGGAAUGUAUUGAAGUCACUUUAUUAAUGGUUCUUAUUCGUAUUAUUGCAACUGUGUUUUUUAGAAGGCAAGAACUCUUUCUUUGGCGAAUAGGUUGUGUUCUUCUAGAGUAUGGUAGUCCAAAAGUUAAAUGCUUAGCAAUAAGCCUUGUAACUGAACUCUUUGAACUUGGAGGACUACCAGCACAACCAGCCAGUGCUUUCUUCAGCUCAUUUUUGGAAUUGUUAAAACAUCUUGUAGAAAUGGAUGCUGAUCACUUAAAACUGUAUGAAGAGCCAUUAUCAAAACUUAUAAAGACACUCUUCCCUUUUGAAGCAGAAGCUUAUAGAAAUAUUGAACCUGUCUAUUUAAAUAUGCUGCUGGAAAAACUCUGUGUCAUGUUUGAAGAUGGUGUGCUUAUGCGGCUCAAGUCUGAUUUGCUAAAAGCAGCUUUGUGUCAUU
rnacentral:lncRNA from 1 species